rnacentral:rRNA from 1 species
AUUGAACGCUGGCGGCAGGCCUAACACAUGCAAGUCGAGCGGAUGAAGGGUGCUUGCUCCUGGAUUCAGCGUCGGACGGGUGUGUAAUGCCUAUGAAUCUGCCUGUUAGUGGUGGAUAACGUCCGUAAACGGGCGCUAAUACCGCAUACGUCCUUAGGGAGAAAGUUGUGGUUCUUCGGACCUCACGCUUUCAUAUGAUCCUAGGUCGGAUUAGCUAGUUGGUGUGGUAAAGGCCUACCAAGGCUACGAUCCGUAACUGGUCUGAGAGGAUGAUCAGUAACACUGGAACUGAGACACGGUCAAGAGUAAUAAGGGAGGCAGCAGUGGGGAAUAUUGGACAAUGGGCGAAAGCAUGAUACAGCAAAGCCGCGUGUGUGAAGAAGGUCUUAGGAUUGUAAAGCAAUUUAAGUUGGGAGGAAGGGAAGUAAGUUAAUACCUUGCUGUUUUGACGUGAACAAAAGAAUAAGCAACGGCUAACUUCGUG